GACGAACGCUGGCGGCGCGCUUAACACAUGCAAGUCGAGCGAGAACCAGGCCUUCGGGCCUGGGGACAGCGGCGAACGGGUGAGUAACACGUGAGUAAUCCACCCUCGGCACCGGAAUAGCCCGGGGAAACCCGGAUUAAUGCCGGAUGGCCCAUCCGCUUUUCGGAGCGGCUGGAAAAGGUAGCUUCGGCCUCCGGCCGAGGACGAGCUCGCGGCGGAUUAGCUUGUUGGUGGGGGAACGGCUCACCAAGGCGACGAUCCGUAGCUGGUCUGAGAGGACGAACAGCCACACUGGGACUGAGACACGGCCCAGACUCCUACGGGAGGCAGCAGUGGGGAAUCUUGCGCAAUGGGCGAAAGCCUGACGCAGCGACGCCGCGUGAGGGAAGAAGGCCUUCGGGUUGUAAACCUCUUUCAGGAGGGACGAAGCCACUCGGGUGAAUAGCCCAGAGGGUGACGGUACCUCCAGAAGAAGCCCCGGCUAACUACGUGCCAGCCGCCGCCGUAAAAC
rnacentral:rRNA from 1 species